CCCCGCUUAGCUCAAUGGUAGAGCGCAUGGCUGUAGACCAUGAGGUUCCCGGUUCGAGUCCUGGAGUGGGGA
rnacentral:tRNA from 1 species